AAGAGAAAAUUGGUGGAUUUCAAGUAAUCAAGCAAUCAAAGGUGGUGAAUCCUCCGAAAAAGGGCAAAGAAAUUACACCCGAGGAUCAAUAGUCGGAGUACUCCAAAAUUCAAACUCCUGAUACAAUUGGCCAUCUCGGAUCAAUAAUGAUGUGAAAAAUUAUUAAAAAUUCAUGUGGUCAUCUAUUGAAAAACUAGAAGAUUUUUCAAUCUAAUGAAUUCUCAUAUGCUACUUG